rnacentral:rRNA from 1 species
UACGUAGGAUGCAAGCGUUGUCCGGAAUUACUGGGCGUAAAGCGCGUGUAGGCGGCUAAGUAAGUCGGGCGUGAAAUCCCACGGCUCAACCGUGGGAGUGCACUCGAAACUGCAUAGCUAGAGUCCUGGAGAGGAAGGUGGAAUGCUUGGUGUAGAGGUGAAAUUCGUAGAUAUCAAGUGGAACACCGGUGGCGAAGGCGGCCUUCUGGACAGUGACUGACGCUGAGACGCGAAAGCGUGGGGAGCAAACAGG